rnacentral:rRNA from 1 species
UUAUGGUUGAUCCUGCCGGACCUGCCUGCUAUCGGAUUGAUACUAAGCCAUGCGAGUCUUUGUAGCAAUACAAGGCAGACGGCUCAGUAACACGUAGUCAAUCUACCCUAUAUACGGGGAUAACCUCGGGAAACUGAGAAUAAUACCCGAUAGGUCAUUAUGCCUGGAAUGGUUUAUGAUUAAGAUGACUUUUCGCUGUAGGAUGGGACUGCGGUCUAUCAGCUUGUUGGUGAGGUAAUGGCCCACCAAGGCUAUUACAGAUACGGGCUCUGAGAGGAGAGGCCCGGAGAUGGGUACUGAGACACGGACCCAGGCCCUAUGGGGCGCAGCAGGCGAGAAAACUUUGCAAUGUGCGAAAGCACGACGUGGUUAAUCCGAGUGUUUUCUGUUUAAGAAAUCUUUUGUCAGUCCUAGAAACACUAACGAAUAAGGGGUGGGCAAGUUCUGGUGUCAGCCGCCGCGGUAAAACCAGCACCUCAAGUGGUCAGGAUGAUUAUUGGGCCUAAAGCAUCCGUAGCCUGCUUGUAAGUUUUCGGUUAAAUCCAUAUGCUCAACAUAUGGGUUGACGGGAAUACUGCACAGCUAGGGAGUGGGAGAGGUAGACGGUACUCGGUAGGAAGGGGUAAAAUCCUUUGAUCUAUUGAUGACCACCUGUGGCGAAGGCGGUCUACCAGAACACGUCCGACGGUGAGGGAUGAAAGCUGGGGGAGCAAACCGGAUUAGAUACCCGGGUAGCCCCAGCUGUAAACUAUGCAAACUCGGUGAUGCGUUGGCUUGUAGCUAGCGCAGUGCCGCAGGGAAGCCGUUAAGUUUGCCGGCUGGGAAGUACGUGCGCAAGUAUGAAACUUAAAGGAAU